GCAAAAAUAAAACGAAAUUUAAACAGUUAUUUCUUCAAAUUGGUGAAAUAAGCAAUAAAAAACUACAGAUUUUCUUUCCCGAGAGUUUUUCAAUGGACGACAGAGGAUUUAUGAGAAUAACGAUGCCAGGCAGCAUAAAUCGACACCAACAAUCAUGGAGGACGUAUGUUUUGGAACGGAACCAUGUUACAGUGUGUUUAUUAUAGGCGGUAUUCAUAUUUUGUAAAAUUAUUUUCAAGGUAGAAUCAAAUAAAUUGCUGCAGUAUGUAUACUGAA